rnacentral:rRNA from 1 species
AUUGAACGCUGGCGGCAGGCUUAACACAUGCAAGUCGAGCGAGCGGCGGACGGGUGAGUAAUGUCUGGGACACCGCCUGAUGGAGGGGGAUAACUACGGGACACUGUAGCUAACACCGCAUACCAGCAUGUGUGCCCAGAUGGGAUUAGCUAGUAGGUGGGGUAAUGGCUCACCUAGGCGACGAUCCCUAGCUGGUCUGAGAGGAUGACCAGCCACACUGGAACUGAGACACGGUCCAGACUCCUACGGGAGGUAGCAGUGGGGAAUAUUGCACAAUGGGCGCAAGCCUGAUGCAGCCAUGCCGCGUGUGUGAAGAAGGCCUUCGGGUUGUAAAGCACUUUCAGCGAGGAGGCGUUACUCGCAGAAGAAGCACCGGCUAACUCCGUGCCAGCAGCCGCGGUAAUUC